UACGUAGGGUGCAAGCGUUGUCCGGAAUUAUUGGGCGUAAAGAGCUCGUAGGCGGUCUGUUGCGUCGGCUGUGAAAACCCGAGGCUCAACCUCGGGCCUGCAGCCGAUACGGGCAGACUAGAGUUCGGCAGGGGAGACUGGAAUUCCCGGUGUAGCGGUGGAAUGCGUAGAGAUCGGGAAGAACAUCGGUGGCGAAGGCGGCCUGCUGGGCUGUUGCUGACGCUGAGGCGCGACAGCGUGGGGAGCAAACAGG
rnacentral:rRNA from 1 species